GGGCUCGAACUCACAGACCGCGAGAUCGUGACCUGGCUGAAGUCGGACGCUCAACCGACUGCGCCACCCAGGCGCCCCACACAGUAGCUUUAUUUCUAAUAGCCCUACACUGGAAACAACUGAAAGGUCCAGCAACAGUUAGGAAGAUAGGCACAUUAUUAUGUAUCUAUGCCAUGGAAUAUCAUUCAGUCAUAAAAGGAGAUUACACAUAUUGAUGCAUGUAAUAAUGUGGAUAAAUCUCAAAAUGAUUAUGUUGAGUAAAGGAAGCCAGACACAAAAAUGUAUAUACCGUGGGUUCCAUUUAUAUGAAAUUGUAAAACAGACCAUGCUAAUUUAUGGUGAUGGAAAUCGGAAUGGUGUUUGCCUCUGUGAAUGGUGGGAAUUGACUGGACAGGAUUCCAUUGAACUUCCUAGGGUGAUGGCAGUAUUCUAUAUUUUGAUUGAGGUAGUGAGUACACCCAGUGUAUACAAUGAUCAAAGUCAUAACAGAAUGCUUAAUGUCUGUGCAGCCCUUUUAUUGUAUAAUGUAAAUUAUACCUUCAGUCUUAAAAAUGUUUUCCUCAGCAGGACUCUUGAAGAAGUGACGGCCUUCUUCCCUCAUCAUCUCCACCCUGGGUACACUCUUGUUCUGAAUCUCUUAGUACUCUACCUCUCUGGCCCGCACUUACACUUGAGUACCAAUGACUUUUAUAGGCUCAUGUCUUAGCUCCCCAGUAGGUGAAAGCAUCCUACAACAAAGUUAUGAUUGUGUUACUUCACUAUUCUUUACAACAAUGGUUGUCAACCUAGGCUGCAUAAUGUUAGACUCUCCCUGUGCCUUGGCUUGGGCCGCCAUAACAAAAUGCCAUAGACGAGGUGGCUGAAACAACACAGAUUUAUUUUCUUACAGUUCUAGGAGCUGGAAGUCUGGGAUCAGGGUGCCAGCCUAUCUGGGUUCCUCUUGUUGGCUUGCAGAUGGCCGUCUUCUCACUGUGUCUCACAGCUCUCUGGUAUCUGUUCUUACAAGGAUACUAGUCCCAUCAUGAGGGCUCUGCCCUCAUGAUAUCAUUUAAAUCUAAUUACCUCCCAAAAGCCUUGUCUCCAGAUACCAUCACAUAAGGGAUGAGGGUUUUAACAUAUGAAUUUGGGGGAACACAUUCAGUCCUUACCACUUGGGAAACGUUAAAAAAUCAUCUCCAGACGUUCUCAUACAGUUGAUGUGAAUUGGAACCUGGACAUGUAUAUUUCUCUGAGGUUCCUCUAUAAUGUGCACCCAGGAUUGGUGACCGUUGCUUUCUACCUUCCUGUUCAAGGUGAGGUCUAGGAAAUAGCAGCGACAGCAUCACCUGGGACCUUCUUAAAAAUGCAAGAUCUCUGGUCCCAUCCCAGGCCUGUGAAUCCGACUCUGCGUGGUAACAGUAUCCCCUGUUGAUUCGUAAAGUCUGAAAAACACUGGUCUGCAGCCCCUUGCAUCGACUUGCAUACAGGUAUGAGAAUGCUCCAUCAAUCAUUUCCUGUUUGAAUUCAAGAUGAACAUUUUGUCAGCGAACUGAAUUUCACCUUUUCUCAUCUCGGAAGCCUGUCAAGUUGUGGAUCUUGCCUACAAAUAAUUGCACCGCCGUGUAAAGAUUUCAUAUAUAGCCUAUAUAUCAUUGUCUAUUAGCAAACAAAAAAGCAGCAAAUAGACCCAACAUUAAAAACAAAAUCUUAAUGUUUUUGAAAAUAUACGACCAUCCCAGCGAUUCCAUCACAAUGAAUGAUGACCUCCUUAGCUUCAGGUGGAAGCAAAUCAAGUACUUUCUUGUACCUUGAUAUUUUUCACUUAGGUAACUCCAGAACGGAACAUAGAGGUCCUGCUUUAGUUUUAGUGCUGCAUAGUAUUUCAGGACAGCAGCUUAUCCAUCAAUAAGGAUCCCAUCCUCUCUCGAAAACAAAUCGAUUGAUCAUGUCAAAAGAUCUCAGCGGCUGGUCGUAGGGUAAAAUGUGCCCUCCACCUCGAACAAUUACCUUGGAGAAGAAAAGUAAAAGAGAGAGACAGAGCGUGAGCAGGGGAGGGGCAGAGAGAGAGGGAGAC